CCUACGGGUGGCAGCAGUGAGGAAUAUUGGUCAAUGGACGAGAGUCUGAACCAGCCAAGUAGCGUGAAGGAUGACUGCCCUAUGGGUUGUAAACUUCUUUUAUAUGGGAAUAAAACGUUCCACGUGUGGGAUUUUGUAUGUACCAUAUGAAUAAGGAUCGGCUAACUCCGUGCCAGCAGCCGCGGUAAUACGGAGGAUCCGAGCGUUAUCCGGAUUUAUUGGGUUUAAAGGGAACGUAGGUGGAUUUUUAAGUCAGUUGUGAAAGUUUGCGGCUGAACCGUAAAAUUGCAGUUGAAACUGGCAGUCUUGAGUACAGUAGAGGUGGGCGGAAUGCGUGGUGUAGCGGUGAAAUGCUUAGAUAUCACGAAGAACUCCGAUUGCGAAGGCAGUUCACUGGACUGCAACUGACACUGAGGCUCGAAAGUGUGGGUAUCAAACAGGAUUAGAUACCCCUGUAGUC
rnacentral:rRNA from 1 species